UAUGACCGUCUGGAGGGUCUGGAGGUCUGUUGCAGAUUGAUGUUAAGCGUUAGAAGACUCUGAAGAUGACAAGAUCGGUGAAGAUGGUGAAUAUCGUGAAUAUGCUCUAGACAGGCCUUCAAUCAGGUAAUGAUCGUUUUGAGCAAUGGAUGUUGUUCGAACAAGCGAAGAACUCCUACACAAACACAGGAAAGAGAGGAAAGAGUUGCAAGGAAAAAUCCAGUUUCUCAAAAAGUCAGUUACAAAAGGGGACAAAAAGAAGAAGAAGGAAGUCACAGAGGAAAUUAUCCGACUAGAACUGGAAUUGGAGAAAUUGCAAAAUGAAGAGUUACUGCAGUUGGAGCAGGAGGUUGCAGUUUGUGAAGAAUGUACUGUUGAGGACAGUGGAACACUGCAGCCUGCUUUACGAGUGAGCAAAGCCCAGAGGAGACGGGACAAAAAAGCCACCCGAGAGAAAGAGAGAGAAGCUAUGAUAAUGGCUCAGGAAAUACAGAAUAUACAUGGGCCACGGAAUGUUGAGAUUCAGAAGAUAAAGCAGAUGCUGAAAGAACGAAAUUUAAUGAUCCAAGAGAUUCCUUCUGAUGGUAACUGUUUGUACUGUGCAGUGGAUGACCAGCUUAAACUUCAUGGUGAUGCUGGCCUGGGUAUAGAUAAGUUGCGGAAAAUGACUAGCCAGUAUUUAAAGGAACACAGAUCUGAUUUCCUCCCAUUUCUAAGUAAUGUUGAUACAGGAGAUCUACUUACUGAUGAACAGUAUGAAGACUACUGCAAUGAAGUUGCCAACACAUCUGCCUGGGGUGGGGAAGUAGAGUUACGAGCCUUGUCACAUGUCCUGAAAUGUUGCAUUGAAGUAAUGCAAGCCAUGGGUCCUUCUGUACUGGUUGGUGAGGAGUAUCGAGACAAGAGGCAAGCUAUUCUCACGUUCCACAGACAUAUGUAUGGUCUUGGAGAACACUACAACUCAGUGAAACCUUAUCUAGAAGAAGAAACAGAAGAUAUUGAAGGUUCAUAGAUUAUCUAGUACUGAAUGAGGUGAGUGGUUUUAUGGUGAAACAGAAAGAAUUUCACAUGGCCUAUGUGAAGGUACUAUCCAAGUUAUUCACCUGUAGGGGCUGAAGAAACCCUGUAUCCUGACAACAGACCUCAACCUCAGUCAGGCAUAUUCAUUGCUGCGAGGAUGUGUUUACUGAGCUGUUGCCCAGAAACGGCCAUUGUUUAUUCACUACAAUAUUACUAGUUUCCACAACCUGUGACCACAAGAACUGGAUGACAAAUCAUUGUUUGCUUUAGUACUUUCUAUCAUUGCAGCACCCAUGCUAAAUGUAUGACAGUAUUGUGGCAUGUAGACCUGUUGCUAGGCAACGACCAUGAAAUAAGCAGCUGUACAAUGGCUGUUGCUAUGAAAUGGCCAAAACAGAUUUGUAACAUGCACCAAUGAACUAACUGGGAACUGCUGUUCUCUAUGCAGUCCAUGCAAUAGCUACAUGAUGCAACAACAGAACUGCUGGGAAAGGCAUUUUCUGUGCAGUCCAUGCCAAAGCAUUGUAAGCAGGAAAAGUCUAGAGUUUA